rnacentral:rRNA from 1 species
UACGUAGGGGGCAAGCGUUGUCCGGAAUCAUUGGGCGUAAAGAGCGUGUAGGCGGCCAGAUAGGUCCGCUGUGAAAACUCGGGGCUCAACUUCGAGCUGUCGGUGGAAACUAUUUGGCUAGAGUCCGGAAGAGGAGAGUGGAAUUCCUGGUGUAGCGGUGAAAUGCGCAGAUAUCAGGAAGAACACCCGUGGCGAAGGCGGCUCUCUGGGACGGUACUGACGCUGAGACGCGAAAGCGUGGGGAGCGAACAGG